GUUUGGAAUCAUCAUUGUUACUCUUUCCCCAAGACCGGAAUGAUGGAAAGAAUUUCAGCAUGUACGGUCGCAACCUCAGAAGAUUUAGAGACGUCACUUGAUUUGGAGAAGAAACCGUCAUUGUGAGAGUGAUGCAUUUACUUUUUCUUUUGUCAAAUCUGACAACGGUAAGGAGGAAGGUAAAGACGUGUCGUCAUCCAAGAUUAGUAUGCGGCUACUUCUACUCCACGUUACCUGAAACGGCCCCACAGAUUUCCAGACAUCCGUGAUAUCAGCUUCAGACCACUUUGACGCAGCUGUCGGGGAUGGCACCCAUUGGCUGACUUUGUGCCCUGACCACUCGGAGCGACCAAUCCAAAGCCAGCCUAGGUUCACGACCCCUAUACAUUUCUCCCGAGGCUUCGAUGUGAAUCUGUUCCAUGAAACCAUUUUACGGGCUAGCCUGCCAUCUUGUGCUCAUUAUUGCCAAACGCUUUGGUGAUGGAUUUUGCCCCGGAGCGGCUCAUAUGAGACAUGGUGUUUUUAUUAUUUUUCUGCAGUGAAGAUAAUUGGAUUUUAUAGCGUG
rnacentral:lncRNA from 1 species